rnacentral:rRNA from 1 species
GACGGAAGGUGCAAGCGUUGCUCGGAAUCACUGGGCGUAAAGCGCACGUAGGCGGAUCUUUAAGUCAGGGGUGAAAUCCUGGAGCUCAACUCCAGAACUGCCUUUGAUACUGGGGAUCUCGAGUCCGGGAGAGGUGAGUGGAACUGCGAGUGUAGAGGUGAAAUUCGUAGAUAUUCGCAAGAACACCAGUGGCGAAGGCGGCUCACUGGCCCGGUACUGACGCUGAGGUGCGAAAGCGUGGGGAGCAAACAGG